rnacentral:tRNA from 1 species
GGCGGAAUAGCUCAGUUGGUAGAGCAGGGGAAUCAUAAUCCUCGUGUCGUGGGUUCAAGUCCCUCUUCCGCCACC